AACGAACGCUGGCGGCAUGCCUAACACAUGCAAGUCGAACGAUCCCUUCGGGGAUAGUGGCGCACGGGUGCGUAACGCGUGGGAACCUGCCCUUAGGUUCGGAAUAACUCAGAGAAAUUUGAGCUAAUACCGGAUAAUGUCUUCGGACCAAAGAUUUAUCGCCCUUGGAUGGGCCCGCGUUGGAUUAGCUAGUUGGUGGGGUAAAGGCCUACCAAGGCGACGAUCCAUAGCUGGUCUGAGAGGAUGAUCAGCCACACUGGGACUGAGACACGGCCCAGACUCCUACGGGAGGCAGCAGUGGGGAAUAUUGGACAAUGGGCGAAAGCCUGAUCCAGCAAUGCCGCGUGAGUGAUGAAGGCCUUAGGGUUGUAAAGCUCUUUUACCCGGGAUGAUAAUGACAGUACCGGGAGAAUAAGCCCCGGCUAACUCCGUA
rnacentral:rRNA from 1 species